AAACAUGCAAUUGUGAGUAGAUCAAUAGGUACCGCUCUGGCGGGAAGCUAACAGUACUCCAUGCAGUCAUGCCGGUCACAUGACCUUGGAGGUGUCUAUGGACAAUGUUGGCUCUUCAGCUUAGAAAUGGAGAUGGUCACCAACCCCCAGAGUCGGACACAACUAGACUUAAUGUCAGGGAAAAACCUUUACCUUUAUCAGUAGUUUAACUAUCAAGUUAAUGACUGUAAUAUGGGCUAAAUUAAGGUUAAAAUGGAAGUCAGCAUUUUGAGUGUCAACUGAAAACUGUCUUAAAGUGAGGAAUGCAGUAAAGUGGAGUGCUUUAUAGGAAUGCACUUGUAAGAAAUGAUGUGCUGCAAAACCAGAAAGAAUGCAGAUUUCUGUUUCUCCCUUUUCCUUUACAGCUUUUGUUGGGAAGGUUUCAUCAGAAUCAGGAGUUCAUACAUUGCAAAUUGGAUCAGUUACUCUGCAAGUAGAAUGUGGAGAUAUCACCCAAGAAACCACAGAUGCGAUAGUGAAUAUAACCAAUGAAUCAUUUAACCUUAAUACUGGUGUUUCCAAAGCAAUUCUGGAAGGAGGCGGACCAGCAAUGGCAGCAGAAUGUGCUCAGCUAGGUACAAAUCCGUUCCAAGAAGCAAAUCUACUGGUAGCGGUUUAGAGAAGGGAUGGUUGGUAGUGAACUUCAACAGUCCUUAAGGCCUAUGGGUCAUGGAGUUUUAAAAGCAGCAAUAGAGAUUAUUGCUAUUCUUUUUCAUUUACUUUGAAAAUGACCAUGGUUCACUCUGCUCC
rnacentral:lncRNA from 11 species